AAAGAAAAGAAGAAGAGAAGAGAAGGGGAUUUGCUUGUGGAUGAUCAUUCUUUCUUAGAAUUGAAGUCCUAACAUGGUAGCAGGUUCCUUAGAGUGGUUCCACUACCGGUCGACGUGUUGAGGUGUACUCGAGUAUUAGCUUUGGGAGGUGUUGGUGGUCGAGCGUGCUGUAGGUAGUUAUUGAAGGAAUUGAUUUUUAUAAGUUGUAAUUUAGUCAUUGGUGAAUAUGUUGAAGUAUAGAACUUAAUAAGUCUUGUAGUAGUGGUUAUGGUUUUAGCUAUGCAGGCUUGUGAUUGGUUGAUCGGUAUGUUGACUCAUUUCUGUUUUAUUGUGAGAAGUCUUCCGCUAAGUUGUAUUCU